AUUGAACGCUGGCGGCAGGCCUAACACAUGCAAGUCGAGCGGAGCGGCGGACGGGUGAGUAAUGCCUAGGAAUCGGCAUGGUAGUGGGGGAUAACGUUCGGAACAGGGCGCGGAUACCGCAUCCUAUCAGAUGAGCCUAGGUCGGAUUAGCUAGUUGGUGGGGUAAAGGCCUACCAAGGCGACGAUCCGUAACUGGUCUGAGAGGAUGAUCAGUCACACUGGAACUGAGACACGGUCCAGACUCCUACGGGAGGCAGCAGUGGGGAAUAUUGGACAAUGGGCGCAAGCCUGAUCCAGCCAUGCCGCGUGUGUGAAGAAGGUCUUCGGAUUGUAAAGCACUUUAAGUUGGGAGGCGUUACCAACAGAAUAAGCACCGGCUAACUUCGUGCCAGCAGCCGCGGUAAUAC
rnacentral:rRNA from 1 species